UACGUAGGGUCCAAGCGUUGUCCGGAUUUAUUGGGCGUAAAGAGCUCGUAGGCGGCUUAGUAAGUCGGAUGUGAAAAACUCGGGGCUCAACCCCGAGACGCCAUCCGAUACUGCUGUGGCUUGAGUCUGGUAGGGGAACACGGAAUUCCUGGUGUAGCGGUGAAAUUCGUAGAUAUCGGGAGGAACACCGGUGGCGAAGGCGGCGACCUGGGUCGAUACUGACGCUGAUGCGCGAAAGCGUGGGGAGCAAACAGG
rnacentral:rRNA from 1 species